rnacentral:rRNA from 1 species
AUGUCGACAUUGCAGGCAGCUGCUGGGGUGGAGAAGCGUCACGCCGUGUUCUUCCCAUUCCCGGCGCAGGGCCAUGUCAAGCCGGCGCUCCAGCUAGCCAAGCUCCUCCACCGUUGCCACGGCUUCCAGGUAACGUUCGUCCACACCGAGCACAACCGCCGACGCCUCCUCCGCUCGCGCGGCCCCGGCGCGCUUGCGGGGGUCCCCGGGUUCCGCUUCGCCGCCGUCCCGGACGGCCUACCCGAAUCCGAUGCCGACGCGGCGCAGGACAUGUCUGCCCUGCUGUCCACCACGGAGGCCCUGGCCCCGCACUUCAGGAGCCUCGUCUCCGGCCUCCCGUCGCCCGUGUCCUGCGUCGUCUCCGACAUCGAGCACAUCCUCUACGCGGCCAAGGACAUGGGUCUUCAAUGUGUCACCUUCUGGAUCACGAGCGCGUGCUCCUUCAUGAUGUACCAGCUAUGCCAGAGGCUCGUCGACAUGGGCAUUGUUCCCCUCAGAGAGGCCGGGCAGCUAAGGAAUGGAUGCAUGGACAGCACGGUCCUGGACUGGGUGCCGGGAAUGCCCAAAGGCAUUUGCCUGAAAGACUUCCCGGACUUCGUCCUCACCGCGGACCCCGACGACGCCAUGCUCAAAGUCGCCCUGCGCUCAAUGGCGUGCCACAGGACUACCCCGUCCGCCGUCAUCUUCCACACCUUCGACGAGAUCGACCGCGAGGCCAUCGCAACCAUGUCCACCUUCCUGCCAAAAAUCUACGCCGUCGGGCCAUUGCCGCUCCUCCUCGGUCAAGCCUCCGGCACUGGCGGCGUGGGUGACACGCUGGAAUCAAACCUGUCCAGGGAGAACCACGCCUGCCUAGAGUGGCUGAAUGGCCGGCGGCCGAACUCGGUGGUGUACGUGAGCUUCGGGAGCAUAGCAACGCUGACGAGCGAGCAGCUUGUGGAGCUCGCGUGGGGUUUGGCUAACAGUAAGCAGGACUUCCUGUGGGUGAUGAGAGACGAUCAAGUGAAUAAUGGCGGCGACCCCGCUGCUGUGUUGCCGCCGGAGUUCUUGGAGGAGACGAAGGCGAGGAGGUACGUGACGAGAUGGUGCCCGCAAGAAGCGGUGCUACAGCACGAGGCGACGGGCGCGUUCCUGACGCACUGCGGGUGGAACUCGGUUCUGGAGAGCGUCUGCGCCGGGGUGCCGAUGCUAUGCUGGCCCUUCGGCGCCGACCAGUACACCAACGCGAGGUACGCUUGCUCUGAGUGGCGCGUCGGCUUGGAGAUCGGCGGCGAUGUCAAGAGAGACGAGGUGGAGGCAGCCAUUAGGGAGGUGAUGGGAGAAGGGGAGAAAGGAAAAGAGAUAAGGAGAAUGCUCAAUGAAUGGAAGGAGAAGGCUAUCGUGGCUGCACAACCAAGUGGAUCCUCUUGGGUAAAUUUGGAGAAGGUGGUCAAUGAGGUGCUUACUGUGCCUCCUGCCAAGGGGGAUACAGAAAUAUGA